AGCUGUCCUUCACCUGCCUGAAGUACACGUAGCCGAAGUAGUGUGCCGGCUCCCUCUGCAAGGAGCAUGGUGUUAGCCAGCCACGCCCCACCCGGACCACCUGGCCAGCCCCAGGGCUGGGAGUGGCAAGGAGCAUGCAGGGACUGCUGCAGAUGGAAGGCUGGAGAACCAGGAGGCUCCUGGAGCUGCUGUCCGUGCACUCUGGCCACCAAGGUGGAGGCCAGGAGGUCCUGGGCUCAGAAGGUGGGCAACACCCCUGCUGAUACAGCAGGGAGUCCGCUGGUGUAGUGGAGAGGGGCUCGGGGGGCUGGGGGCCCUGGGAGGGCCCCUGUUCAACUAUGCAGGUGCCCAGCCACAGAUGUGUGGUGCCAAGGAAAAGUCCCAGGGACCCUGGGGAGACCCUGGAAGAGCUGGCCCAUCCUCAGUUGGGGCUGGUGCCUGGGACUGCAGGGCCAGUGGGGCCUGGCCAGCUCCUCUCCUGCCACACAGGGCCCAGGCACUCUGAAGGGGCUUCUCCUACCAGCCUGACCCUGGCAGGACCCUUGGGGAGCAGGGGAGAAGCAGGCCAGAGACGCAGCCCAGUGCUCACCUGCAGUGCCACAGGGGCCCUGCUGUUGUAGUGCCUGUCGUCGGCAUGCCAGGGGCUCCUCUGCCCUCCACACUGGCGCAUGCGGAAGCUGAACUGAGUGUCUCCAAGGCAGCCUAAGAAGGGGCAGCCCCACCACACGGGUCAAGGCCGGGAGCCUCUUCUGCAGGCCCUGGAGCUGGUGACCGGGGAGCAAGGGCCCUGCGAGCCUGGCCUCUGCUGAGGGCCGGGACUCACCUCCUUGUCUGUGAGCCGGAAGUCGUUCGGAUACACCAGCUGCAGAGGAAGACAGAGUGCUUGGUGACACCAUCUGUCCGAGGAGGCGACACCCCUCGACAGCAUCUGCUGGACUGUGACCGUCCCAGCAGCUGCAGCAUCUGUCUGUGGGGCGCAGCAUGCUGCAUCCUCCCCACACCACCUUCUCUGGCUGUGAUGUCUGGCUCCUUGCUGACCCGCUCCUAUCUCUGACCUCCAGGCACCAGGCCCCGGGCAACUCCCCUGCCGGCCAGAGGCUUCUCUACUCCCACCUCCCCAGGCCCCUCUCAGUAAGAGGCCAGCACAAUUGGGGCCUGUGCCCCACCUGUAGCGCCCAGCCGGACAAGGCCUGCACCCCCAGGAGUGGACAGUGGAGGAGAGCAUGAUGCUAAGCAGGCGCUGAAUGACUUGGAAGACAGGUGUGCGCUGACAGAGGCGGCAGGUGGGGCAGAGUAAGUCUCUCUAAGGACCCUGUCCUGGUUACUUCUGCCUCCCAGCACCUGGCACAGAACAGACCCUCCCCAAAUACAGUGUUCGUGGAAUGUGUGAAGAGGUCUCUGAGGUUUACUAGAACAGGUACAGCAUGGCUCCCAGAAGCCGCGGUGUGUCCUGUCCUAGAGGGCUGAAUGCAGUGCUGAUGAGAAUCCAGCUGUUUUCCAUUUGGUCGGACUUUUUAUUUUUUAUUUAUUUAUUUUUUGAGACGGGGUCUUGCUCUGUCACCAGGCUGGAGUGCACUGACGUGAUCUCAGCUCACUGCAAACGCCAUCUCCUGGGUUCAAGCGAUUCUCCUGCCUCAGCCUCCUGAGUAGCUGGGACUAAGGGUGCACGCCACCACGCCCGGCUAACAUUUUUCUAUUUUUUAGUAGAGACAGGGCUUCACCAUAUUGGCCAGGCUGGUCUCGAACUUCUAACCUCGUGAUCCACCCGCCUUGGCCUCCCAAAGUGCUAGGAUUACAGGUGUGAGCCACGGCGCCCAGCCCUUCUAACUCUCAAAAAUGUUUUUUAAGACAAGGUCUCACUGUCACCCAGGCUGGAGUGCAGUGGUGCGAACACAGCUCAUUGCAGCCUCGACCUCCUGGGCUCAAGCAAACCUUCCACCUCAGCCUCCUGAGUAGCUGGGACUACAGGCGUGCGCCCCCACACAUGGCCAAUUUUUACACUGUUGUGCUACAGGCGUGCGCCCCCACACAUGGCUGAUUUUUACACUGCUGUGUAGAGAUUGGGUCUUGCUAUGCUGCCCAAGCUGGUCUCAAACUCCUGGACUCAGCCUUCCAAGCAGCUAGAACUACAAGCCUGUGCUACCACGCCCAGCUAAUUUCCUUGGUUUUAACUCCUGGUAAACAUUGAUAGAUAUAACCAAUAUUAAAAAAAAAAAACUCU